GCACCAAGCAUAGACAUGACCUCUCAGCGUAGACGUAAUCUCUUUUACACCGAGAUUUAGCAGGAAAAUCUAAGGAAAUUAUAGAAUUGGAAAAUUUAUAUGUAAUAUGCCUGAACGAGUUAUUCUUAGCAUGUAUACAUGAGAUGUAUACAUGAAUCUAUACAAGAUCCACGAGUGUUUGUAAGAAAAGUAAUUGGGAAGAAUGUAUUAUCCAAGAAAUUAUCGAUAAGAGUGGUGUAAACCUGAUGUCAUCGUUAACACAAAGAAUAAUGGAAAAUCAAUAGAAGAUAUUGCAAUACCUGAUGUCCCUGUUGCUCCACUGCAUCGUAAAAAGAAAAUUAAGACAAAUACACCGGACGAUCUUGCUCCCUCUGCAGAAGCACUUGUUUCCCCGUCGCCGCUUCCAAGUCCAGCAAGUACUAUAGAAUUGAUUACGAGAGAAUUCGAGCACUUUUGAUAUUUGAUCUGCGACAAAAGGCCAAUACAUUGUUGGGGAGGGUCUCCUUUAGGAUCUCAUUAGGAGACCGAAAAAGUGGUGAUUCUUCAUAAUUUUUUUUUUAAAGGAAGACUAAUAUUGUUUUAAAACUUUUUACACGUUUUAACAUAACUAUUGUAA